GACGAACGCUGGCGGCGUGCUUAACACAUGCAAGUCGAACGGAAAGGCCCCUUUGGGGGUACUCGAGUGGCGAACGGGUGAGUAACACGUGAGUAACCUGCCCUUGACUUCGGGAUAACUUCAGGAAACUGGGGCUAAUACCGGAUAGGAAUCCUUGCUGCAUGGUGGGGGUUGGAAAGCUUCGGCGGUUUUGGAUGGACUCGCGGCUUAUCAGCUUGUUGGUGGGGUAGUGGCUUACCAAGGCUUUGACGGGUAGCCGGCCUGAGAGGGCGACCGGCCACAUUGGGACUGAGAUACGGCCCAGACUCCGACGGGAGGCAGCAGUGGGGAAUAUUGCACAAUAGGCGGAAGCCUGAUGCAGCAACGCCGCGUGCGGGAUGACGGCCUUCGGGUUGUAAACCGCUUUCAGCAGGGGCGAAGCUUGUGGUGACGGUACCUGCAGAAGAAGCACCGGCUAACUACGUG
rnacentral:rRNA from 1 species